CCUACGGGUGGCAGCAGUCGAGAAUCAUUCACAAUGGGGGAAACCCUGAUGGUGCGACGCCGCGUGGGGGAAUGAAGGUCUUCGGAUUGUAAACCCCUGUCAUGUGGGAGCAAAUUAAAAAGAUAGUACCACAAGGGGAAGAGACGGCUAACUCUGUGCCAGCAGCCGCGGUAAUACAGAGGUCUCAAGCGUGGUUCGGAAUCACUGGGCGUAAAGCGUGCGUAGGCUGUUUCGUAAGUCGUGUGUGAAAGGCGCGGGCUCAACCCGCGGACGGCACAUGAUACUGCGAGACUAGAGUAAGGGAGGGGGAACCGGAAUUCUCGGUGUAGCAGUGAAAUGCGUAGAUAUCGAGAGGAACACUCGGGGCGAAGGCGGGUUCCUGGACAUUAACUGACGCUGAGGCACGAAGGCCAGGGGAGCGAAAGGGAUUAGAUACCCUAGUAGUC
rnacentral:rRNA from 1 species